rnacentral:tRNA from 1 species
AAGGAAAUAAUUUAGGAAGCUGCUAACUAUCUUAAUAAGCGAUUUAAUAUCGUUUUUUCCUUC